AAUACCUAUACUCCAUCUGUUUCUUUACGACGAUUCUUCCUUCUCUCCGACAGUUACGUUCUAGUUUCGUAACCCAAUUAAGUUGUCAUUGUCCUCUCUUUGGUUGUUACUUCACCAGAGAUGAGAGAGAGAGAGAGAGUAAAGAGAUGGAAAGAAACAGCGGAAAGAUAACAAGAGAUACCAAAGUAAAAAGAUUAGAGACUAAGGUUGGAGGCUGUGAUUUCAACCACGUGAAAAGCUGAGAAGAAAAGAAAUAGAGGAGGCUCCGACGGAUAUGCAUGAGUUGACGUGACUUGGGGCAGGUUGUGAUCGAUUUUAUCGGAAUUAUAGGAUCUGGAUAGCAAUUUCAGGUCAAUAUAUAUGAUGAUGAAAAUAGGAUUCUGAUGGGAGUGUCGUGACUAGCUUGUUGGCUCAUGGUUCAUGGGUUCGGGUCUAAGAGAUUGGAAGCAAGAAGCCUCCAUUCGUUUGAUCAUAUGCAAGUGAUCGACAUGUGAACGAGCAUACAUGAAAAAAAUGGAAACGCAAUGAGUCUUUUGAUGUCGUCACGCUACAACAAUAAACCUCUAUAGAGACGAGGUCUACAGGGAUGACAUAUGUCGUCUCCAUAUAGUUGACAAGUUUUUUUUGACUUUUGGAGCUACAGCGGUUUCACCAUGUUAAAGCGGGAAGGAAACUGGAUUAGGCGCGUUUUGGGGAAGGUUAUAGGGACUUGUCAUCCCCAUAUCUUUCUACGACUUAAAUUAGGAGAACAACCUCCUUUGUUUCGAUCACGCACACUCAAUCAUUAGUCUCUAUCUGUCUUUCUUACUCUCGACCGGAGAUUCUCCCUUCCCUAAUUUCGACCAAUAUCUUCUCCACCGGCGACUUCCUCACCUCUCACUCCCCGUGCAUCUUCUUCCUCUCUCCAUGGAUUCUCAUGCUAGUUACCACCAUUAGGCUAAUCAAUGUCGAUUAGUUUCAAUGCCGUCGAUUCUGAAUAUCGGCUUCCUUUUCACAUCCAGUUACGAUUACUAUUGAAUACAAGCCCUACACCGGCUACCAGGAUUGGAGAUGCAAUGGCAAAGGUUAUUUGGCUUAUCACAAUUUUAUUACCAGGCUGGACAAUCGAAUGAAGUUGCAGCCACCUAGCCACCUGAGUAGUCCUGGAACCAGAAAAAGAUGGUCGUAUCAUUAUGGGGAGGGUUGACUGCACUGAAGAAGUUGACCUGUGUAGAAGUGGCACCUUCAUUGCAAAUGGUUGAGGUUCGAAAAGCAGGUGGAGAUACAUUAGAAUUUCACAAGUUUUACAAGAACUUUUGAUGCAGACAAUGGAAGAAUUGGUUGCACCUAUUGCAAUGGAUUCACAUCUGGCCUUGGAGGGUAAAUCUGGAAAAACUGAAGAAAAUGCAAAAAGGCCUGCACCAUCAGAAGUCGGAUGUAGAAUCGAGUCAAGAAUAUUUUGACUUCACAUUACAUCAUCUUCACUGGAUAAAACUGUGAGAGUGUGGGAUAUACCAAAAGGCCUUUGCAUUCGAGUCAUUUACGGAGUUGCCCCUCAGCUAUGUAUCCGAUUUCAUCCUGUGAAUAAUAACUUCCUUUCGGUUGGAAAUGCAAACAUAGAAAUUUUGGUAUUCAAUUUUAACAUAGGAAGAUUAACAGAUGAAAUAGUUGUAGACAGCAAGGUCAAUUUAUUUUUUGUAUUUGAGAAAACUGGAAAAGUAAACCAAAAAUAGAAGUUGAAUGGAAUUUAUAUACAAUAUCUAUAGAGACGGCAUUUUAUUGCUAUAGGUCUAGUUAUGAGGACGACAUGUCGUCUCUAUAGGUCUAGUUAUGGGGGCGACGUGUCGUCUCUAUAGGUCCAACAAUGGGAUGACAACCCCGAACCAACAAAAACGAUAUGUCGUCUCUAAAAAGUAUCUAUGGCGACGAUAUAUAUAGCGACGGCCCAAGCUAUCUAUUGCGACGGGGCUAUAGCGACAAAGACUAUAGGGACGACUUGUCGUCACAACUACCUAUGGAGACGACUUUCUAUAACCUAUAGAGAUGACAUUUGUCGUCCCUAUAGGUCUCGUUUCUUGUAGUGGAUCACAUGUGUACGUGUUUGUAGUAUAUAUGGAUAUGGUUUUCUUGGGUUAAGUAUAACGUUGAAAUGGGAACCAAACUGACGUUUUUUUUACUGAAGCAUGAGUAGUUACUGUCAAAUGAGGUACCUUCCAUAACUUGUCUUAGUAGUCUAACGGUAAAGGCAUGUAUAUGUGGCUAUAAUAUAUCAGGGUGUUUUCAUUAGACGUGCAUCAGUACAACCAGUAUGUGAAGGUAGUAAUUUAUACGUAGUCAUUUACGUCAAAGUAAUAAACUGAAUUGUACAAAAUGAAGAAGUAAAUAAUAAUAAU